UGUGAAAUCCCCGAGCUUAACUUGGGAAUUGCAUUGGUGACUGCACGGCUAGAGUGUGUCAGAGGGGGGUAGAAUUCCACGUGUAGCAGUGAAAUGCGUAGAGAUGUGGAGGAAUACCGAUGGCGAAGGCAGCCCCCUGGGAUAACACUGACGCUCAUGCACGAAAGCGUGGGGAGCAAACAGGAUUAGAUACCCUGGUAGUCCACGCCCUAAACGAUGUCAACUAGUUGUUGGGGAUUCAUUUCCUUAGUAACGUAGCUAACGCGUGAAGUUGACCGCCUGGGGAGUACGGUCGCAAGAUUAAAACUCAAAGGAAUUGACGGGGACCCGCACAAGCGGUGGAUGAUGUGGAUUAAUUCGAUGCAACGCGAAAAACCUUACCUACCCUUGACAUGCCACUAACGAAGCAGAGAUGCAUUAGGUGCUCGAAAGAGAAAGUGGACACAGGUGCUGCAUGGCUGUCGUCAGAUCGUGUCGUGAGAUGUUGGGUUAAGUCCCGCAACGAGCGCAACCCUUGUCUCUAGUUGCUACGAAAGGGCACUCUAGAGAGACUGCCGGUGACAAACCGGAGGAAGGUGGGGAUGACGUCAAGUCCUCAUGGCCCUUAUGGGUAGGGCUUCACACGUCAUACAAUGGUGCAUACAGAGGGUUGCCAAGCCGCGAGGUGGAGCUAAUCCCAGAAAAUGCAUCGUAGUCCGGAUCGUA
rnacentral:rRNA from 1 species